rnacentral:rRNA from 1 species
UGGAGGCAGCAGUGAGGAAUAUUGGUCAAUGGGCGCAAGCCUGAACCAGCCAUCCCGCGUGCAGGAAGAAGGCGCUAUGCGUUGUAAACUGCUUUUUCAGGGGAAGAAUGUUUCGUAUGUAUACGGAAUUGACGGUACCUUGAGAAUAAGCAUCGGCUAACUCCGUGCCAGCAGCCGCGGUAAUACGGAGGAUGCGAGCGUUAUCCGGAUUUAUUGGGUUUAAAGGGUGCGUAGGCGGAUUGAUAAGUCAGUGGUGAAAUACUGCAGCUUAACUGUAGAAUUGCCGUUGAUACUGUCAGUCUUGAGUAUGGUUAAGGUAGGCGGAAUGUGUAAUGUAGCGGUGAAAUGCUUAGAUAUUACACAGAACACCGAUUGCGAAGGCAGCUUACUGAGCCAAAACUGACGCUGAGGCACGAAAGCGUGGGGAGCGAACAGGAUUAGAUACCCCGGU